rnacentral:lncRNA from 1 species
AUGACGUGAUAUCAAGUUUCAAGUUGGUGACCUUGUCUAUCUUAAGUUACAUCCUUAUCGCCAGCACUCGAUUUUCAAAAGAGCUUAUCACAAACUUGGUAGCCGAUUUUAUGGGCCUUAUAAAGUGGAGCAACAUGUGGAAAAUGUGGCAUACAAGCUACAGUUGUCGGAAGGAGCUCGUAUUCACCCUGUUUUCAUGUCUCCUUACUUAAAAAGAAGCUGGGUGUUCCUUGUGCUGUCAACAACGAACUACCACCCAUUUCUGAGGAUGGCAUUGUUGUACUGAAACCCAAGUUAAUCUUGGAGACGCAGACGCGCUGGGUUAAAAAGGGCAUAAAUUUGUUGAAGAAAGCCUAGUUAAGUGGCUUCGUCUUCCAGCAGAUGAGGCUACCUGGGAAGAUACACAGGAGCUGAUUAACCAGUUCAAGGAUGUGGACCUUGAGGACAAGAGUCCACUUCGACGGGGAGGUAAUGAUUAGCCAUGGCAAUCUAGGCAAUCUCAACGCAUGCGCGAGAAGACCCACAGGUACAUGGAAGAGUGAAGAUUGUGAGAAAUGCAUGCAUGCAAGAUCAAGUUCCAAGCAGUCAUCUGAUUUUCAGCAAAAGCAACGACUAUCAGUUAAUAAGUAGUUUCUUUAAUAUGUAAUCAGUUUCUUUAUUCAGUUUUUUAUUCAGUUUCCUUAAUGUAAACCUGGGCUUUUUGAAUGGGUAUUCAGUUACCACUCAUGGC